rnacentral:rRNA from 1 species
CGAGAAUCUUCCGCAAUGGACGAAAGUCUGACGGAGCGACGCCGCGUGCGGGAUGAAGGCCCUUGGGUUGUAAACCGCUGUCAGAGGGGAUGAAAUCUUCGGAGGUACUCCUCCGAAGUUGACAGAGCCUCAAAGGAAGCACGGGCUAAGUACGUGCCAGCAGCCGCGGUAACACGUACUGUGCGAACGUUAUUCGGAAUCACUGGGCUUAAAGGGUGCGUAGGCGGCGAUUCAAGUCAGAUGUGAAAUGCCUGAGCUCAACUGAGGCAUUGCGUUUGGAAACUGAACCGCUAGAGUAUUUUCAGGGGUGUGCGGAACUGCCAGUGGAACGGUGAAAUGUGUUGAUAUUGGCAGGAACACCGGAGGCGAAAGCGGCACACUGGGGAAUUACUGACGCUGAGGCACGAAAGCCAAGGGAGCGAACGGGAUUAGAUACCCCGGUAGUCUUGGCCGUAAACGAUGAGUACUGGCGGGAGGAGGUUUCCUCUUUCUGUCCGUAGCGAAAGCGUAAGUACU